rnacentral:lncRNA from 1 species
UGCCCGUGCAUUUAUAUGGGUGUGGUGCUAAGUGUAUCUUGUUUACCUUAUCUUUCUGUGGAAAAAGUUUUGAAGUUUGGUCGGGUUUGUCACAUCAUGCCCGUUGCCUAGUACCCCCCCCAAAGUGUUCUUAUUUAGCAAAAAGACUGGAUAGGUGGGAGGUUGUGGCUUGGC